GGCCUAAUGGUCUAGUAGUAUGAUUCUCGCUUUGGGUAUUCUAUAAUGUCUUGGUAAUAACCAUGCGAGAGGUCCUGGGUUCAAUUCCCAGUUAGGCCC